AGGAUGCUUUGCCCAGAAGGCAAGAAGAACCAUUCCUCAAAAGUCAAGAAUAUCAACCACCAGCUGAGUCAAGAGGUUUCAUAGUUGGCCACCAAAAUGGGUGACCCAGUUGAAGAGCUCCCUGAAGACCAGCUGGAGGAGCUAUCCAGUUGAAAGUUGGAGGAAGAGUCUCUGCCCACCUCCUUGAAAACCAAAUGGGAAAGUGUUGUUGAGUCCACAGCCCCAAAAGAAAACCUAGAGGACUUCUGUAGGAAAGGUUGAAGCUUUUCCUGAAAGAUCUCUCAAGCCCAUUUUGAUCAGCAAUUAAAAAUUUUUAUUUCAAUAAAGAAUAUUUUCUGCCGAGAAAACUGCUCCUGUCU